rnacentral:rRNA from 1 species
CACGUAGGGCGCAAGCGUUGUCCGGAAUUAUUGGGCGUAAAGAGCUCGUAGGCGGACUGUCACGUCUGCUGUGAAAAGCUGGGGCUUAACCCUGGCCUUGCAGUGGAUACGGGCAGACUAGAGGUAGGUAGGGGAGACUGGAAUUCCUGGUGUAGCGGUGAAAUGCGCAGAUAUCAGGAGGAACACCGGUGGCGAAGGCGGGUCUCUGGGCCGUAACUGACGCUGAGGAGCGAAAGCGUGGGGAGCGAACAGG